rnacentral:lncRNA from 1 species
GGUACUACUGGUUAGACUAGCAGGUUUGCAACCAGGGAUCAAAUCACCAUGCCAACAUCUUUUUGCACCAAUUUUGGCUCAUCCAUAUCAAGCCCUUGUUCUUCUUCAUGUUGCAUCCAUCCCAUCUCAUAUCACCAAUACACUGCUAUCCCAGUGGUUUUCAGAGUCUGCAACGAUUCAGGAGGUACUGGGUUCAAUUCCAGGUUCUCUUCUUUUUCGUUGUUGUUUUGUUUUAUUGAUGCGUCUCUGUCCUAGCUCAUUGCAUGUUUUUUUCUGCCUGUGCAUUUAGUUAUUUUACCCAGUAUUGCAUAGUUGCAGGAAAUGCCAUUUAUUUGCUUUACUCAUAUUUAAAUAAUCGUGCAUCGGAUCGAAACAUGUCAUAUAUGCAUCUUGCUUAGAUUUUCAUAUAGUUUCACAAUGUCCAACUUCCAUUCAUGUCUAAGAUGUUUAAAAUUGUUGUUUCCAUUAAUUUUGCAUAAAUGACAUACUAAAAUGGUUUAUUUCAUAACUAAAUAAUCGUAGCUCCGUUUUAAAUAAACUUGAUAUGUAAAUGGGGUGGAAUAAUGCAUAGAUUAACAUGUUGCACUUUAUUUUCCUGUUUAACAAACAACAAAAAUUGUGUUUAGGGCAGAACAGUACCAAAUUCAUAAUUUGCAUAUGGGGAUUUUCCAGAAUUGUUGUUUGUAACUUCCGGCCUCAUUUAAACUUGCCUAGAUAGUUAGUUUUCUCUUGCUUCACCUCUUGACAUGUUUAACAACAUUUAAUAUUGUUGUGUACCUAAACGAGAGCGAACUAAAUAAAUGUUGUGAAGUUUUGUCAAUAUGCAACUCGUUGCAUAUUGAGCUCCACUUAAUUUGUAGUAUUGUUUGUUGCACUUUGCCAUGCCAUGCUCUUUAAACCGGACAUGCAUCAUACUUGUUUGUGCAUCAUGCCAUGUUUAUGCUUGUGCAUUUACCAUGUUGUUUGUUUCUUUCCGGUGUUGCUUCUUAGUUCCGGUAAUGUUGCGAUUAUGAGGAUUCGUUCGACUACUCCCGUUCGUCUUCUUCAUGGACUCGUUCUUCUUCCUUGCGGGAUUUCAGGCAAGAUGACCGCUACCCUGGAUCUCACUACUAUCAUUGCUAUGCUAGUUGCUUCGUUCUAUCGCUAUGUUGCGCUACCUAUCACCUAUUUAUCAAGCCUCCCAAAUUGCCAUGAACCUCUAACCUUUGACACCCUUCCUAGCAAACCAUUGCUUGGCUAUGUUACCACUUUGCUCAGCCCCUCUUAUAGCGUUGUUAGUUGCAGGUGAAGUUGAAGAUUGCUCCAUGAUGGAUAGGUUUUUGUUGGGAUAUCACAAUAUCUCAUAUUCAAUUAAUGCAUCUAUAUAUUUGGUAAAGGGUGGAAGGCUCGGCCUUAUGCCUGGUGUUUUGUUCCACUCUUGCCGCCCCUAGUUUCCGUCAUACCGGUGUUAUGUUCCCGGAUUGUGCGUUCCUUACGCGGUUGGGUGAUUUAUGGGACCCCCUUGAUAGUUCGCUUUGAAUAAAACUCCUCCAGCAAGGCCCAACAUUGGUUUUACCAUUUGCCUCACCACCACCUAUUUUUCCCUUGGGAGUCGCUCUCUCGAGGGUCAUCUUUAUUAUAGCCCCCCCCCCCGGGCCAGUGCUUGUCUAAGUGUUGGUCUGAACCAGAGCCACUUGCAGUGCCACCUCGGGGAAACUCGAGGUCUGGUUUUAGUUGUACGUAGUGUUCAUCCGGUGUUGCCCUGAGAACGAGAUAUGUGCAGCUCCUAUCGGGAUUGUCGGCGCAUCGGGCGGUCUUGCUGGUCUUGUUUUACCAUUGUCGAAAUGUCUUGUAAACCGGGAUUCCAAGUCUGAUCGGGUCUUCCUGGGAGAAGGUAUAUCCUUCGUUGAUCGCAAGAGCUUAUCAUGGGCUAAGUUGGGACACCCCUGCAAGGUAUAAUCUUUCGAAAGCCGUGCUUGCGGUUAUAGGCAGAUGGGAAUUUGUUAAUGUCCAGUUGUAGAUAACUUGACACCAGAUCCGAAUUAAAACGCAUCAACCGUGUGUGUAGCCGUGAUGGUCUCUUUUUGGCAGAGUCCGGGAAGUGAACACGGUUUUGGGUUAAGUUUGACGUAAGUAGGAGUUCAGGAUCACUUCUUGAUCAUUGCUAGUUUCAUGACCAUUCCAUUUGCUCUCUUCUCGCUCUUAUUUGCGUAUGUUAGCCACCAUAUAUGCUUAGUCGCUGUUGCAGCCUCACCACUUUACCCCUUCCUUUCCCUUUAAGCUUUGCUAGUCUUGAUACCCAUGGUAAUGGGAUUGCUGAGUCCUCGUGGCUCACAGAUUACUACAACAACAGUUGCAGGUACAGGUUAUGCAAGGAUCAUGACGCGAGAGCGAUGCUUGCUUGCUUGAGUUCUUCUUCUGCUUCUUCUUCGAUCAGGGGAUAGGUUCCAGGUCGGCAGCCUGGGCUAGCAGGGUGGAUGUCGUUUGAGUUUCUGUUUGUGUUUCAUCCGUAGUCGAAUGAUGCUCUUAUGUAUUGUGAUGUUGUAUUCGUGUGGCAUUGUAUGCCUCUUGUAUGUAUCCCUAUCUAUUAUGUAAUGUUGAUGUAAUGAUAUCCACCUUGCAAAAGCGUUUCAAUAUGUGGUUCUAUCCUUGGUGGGACCUUCGAGUCUCUUUCGGAUAGUAUCGCAUAUUGGGCGUGACAGCUAGGUCAUGGGGUGAUGAGUAAGCAGGCUUGAGAGGUUGAGUUCUUCGUACACGCCCCUGAGUUCAAACCUUCUUGGGGUCUGUGGAGCCCUGAAUCUGACAUUUGGCAUGCCAAGUAG